rnacentral:rRNA from 1 species
UACGGGGGGGGCAAGCGUUGUUCGGAAUUACUGGGCGUAAAGGGCUCGUAGGCGGCCAACUAAGUCGGAUGUGAAAUCCCCAGGCUCAACCUGGGAACUGCAUCCGAUACUGGUUGGCUUGAAUCCGGGAGAGGGAUGCAGAAUUCCAGGUGUAGCGGUGAAAUGCGUAGAUAUCUGGAGGAAUACCGGUGGCGAAGGCGGCAUCCUGGACCGGCAUUGACGCUGAGGAGCGAAAGCCAGGGGAGCAAACGGG